rnacentral:rRNA from 1 species
GCGAACGGGUGAGUAACACGUGGGCAAUCUGCCCUUCACUCUGGGAACAAGCCCUGGAAACGGGGUCUAAUACCGGAUAACACUCCUGCCUGCAUGGGUGGGGGUUAAAAGCUCCGGCGGUGAAGGAUGAGCCCGCGGCCUAUCAGCUUGUUGGUGGGGUAAUGGCCCACCAAGGCGACGACGGGUAGCCGGCCUGAGAGGGCGACCGGCCACACUGGGACUGAGACACGGCCCAGACUCCUACGGGAGGCAGCAGUGGGGAAUAUUGCACAAUGGGCGAAAGCCUGAUGCAGCGACGCCGCGUGAGGGAUGACGGCCUUCGGGUUGUAAACCUCUUUCAGCAGGGAAGAAGCGAAAGUGACGGUACCUGCAGAAGAAGCGCCGGCUAACUACGUGCCAGCAGCCGCGGUAAUACGUAGGGCGCAAGCGUUGUCCGGAAUUAUUGGGCGUAAAGAGCUCGUAGGCGGCUUGUCACGUCGGAUGUGAAAGCCCGAGGCUUAACCUCGGGUCUGCAUUCGAUACGGGCUAGCUAGAGUGUGGUAGGGGAGAUCGGAAUUCCUGGUGUAGCGGUGAAAUGCGCAGAUAUCAGGAGGAACACCGGUGGCGAAGGCGGAUCUCUGGGCCAUUACUGACGCUGAGGAGCGAAAGCGUGGGGAGCGAACAGGAUUAGAUACCCUGGUAGUCCA